rnacentral:rRNA from 1 species
AUUGAACGCUGGCGGCAGGCUUAACACAUGCAAGUCGAGCGGGGGAAGGUAGCUUGCUACCGGACCUAGCGGCGGACGGGUGAGUAAUGCUUAGGAAUCUGCCUAGUAGUGGGGGACAACAUCUAGAAAGGGAUGCUAAUACCGCAUACGUCCUGCGGGAGAAAGCAGGGGAUCGUCGGACCCUGCGCUAAUAGAUGAGCGUAAGUGGGAUUAGCUAGUUGGGGGGGUAAAGGGCUACCAAGGCGACGAUCUGUAGCGGGUCGGAGAGGAUGAUCCGCCACACUGGGACUGAGACACGGCCCAGACUCCUUCGGGAGGCAGCAGUGGGGAAUAUUGGACAAUGGGGGGAACCCUGAUCCAGCCAUGCCGCGUGUGUGAAGAAGGCCUUAUGGUUGUAAAGCACUUUAAGCGAGGAGGAGGCUACUUUAGUUAAUACCUAGAGAUAGUGGACGUUACUCGCAGAAUAAGCACCGGCUAACUCUGUGCCAGCCGCCGCCGUAA